rnacentral:rRNA from 1 species
UCUCCUGGAAAAGGGUGGUAAUGCCGGAUGCUCCAUCUCAUCGCAUGGUGUUCUGGGAAAGCCUUUGCGGCAUGGGAUGGGGUCGCGUCCUAUCAGCUUGAUGGCGGGGUAACGGCCCACCAUGGCUUCGACGGGUAGCCGGCCUGAGAGGGCGACCGGCCACAUUGGGACUGAGAUACGGCCCAGACUCCUACGGGAGGCAGCAGUGGGGAAUAUUGCACAAUGGGCGCAAGCCUGAUGCAGCGACGCCGCGUGAGGGAUGGAGGCCUUCGGGUUGUAAACCUCUUUUGUUAGGGAGCAAGGCAYUUUGUGUUGAGUGUACCUUUCGAAUAAGCACCGGCUAACUACGUGCCAGCAGCCGCGGUAAUACGUAGGGUGCAAGCGUUAUCCGGAAUUAUUGGGCGUAAAGGGCUCGUAGGCGGUUCGUCGCGUCCGGUGUGAAAGUCCAUCGCUUAACGGUGGAUCCGCGCCGGGUACGGGCGGGCUUGAGUGCGGUAGGGGAGACUGGAAUUCCCGGUGUAACGGUGGAAUGUGUAGAUAU